rnacentral:rRNA from 1 species
CAGCCGCCACGGUAAUACGUAGAGUGCGAGCGUUAAUCGGAAUUACUGGGCGUAAAGCGUGCGCAGGCGGCUUUGCAAGACAGAUGUGAAAUCCCCGGGCUCAACCUGGGAACUGCAUUUGUGACUGCAAGGCUAGAGUACGGUAGAGGGGGAUGGAAUUCCGCGUGUAGCAGUGAAAUGCGUAGAGAUGCGGAGGAAUACCGAUGGCGAAGGCAGCCCCCUGGGAUGACACUGACGCUCAUGCACGAAAGCGUGGGGAGCAAACAGGAUUAGAUACCCCGGUAGUCCCUGUCUCUUAUAC